rnacentral:pre_miRNA from 1 species
AGUGAAAUUGCUGAGUUAUAUGGUAAUUUUAUGUGUAACUUUGUAAGAAAUUUCCAAACUGUUUUCCAUAGUAGCUGCACCAUAUUACAUUAUCAUUAGUAAU